rnacentral:pre_miRNA from 1 species
GGAGUUCCAACAGGAGCGACCUGCGACCACAUGCGCCACUACGACUCCGGGCCGGUUUCUGCCGUUUGAUUUGGCAGGGUGAUGUGUUCUCAGGUCGCCCCUGCAGGAGCUCC